rnacentral:lncRNA from 1 species
UCCUGAUCCACCCUCCUCAGCCUCCCACAGUGCUGGGAUUACAGAAACCAGCCAAGGCAAUGUGAAGGAUUCCAAGAGAGGCAAUAUGGAUGAAACCAUUUAUUAGAUUUAUAAGAGCUGAAGGAAAGUGGUAAAGCUAUCCAUCUUCUAUACUUUAUUGAGAACAGGACCAAUGACUCAGACUAUCAGGACAGUAUCUCCAAGACAGAAUUGAAAUCCUAAAGUAAGCAGAGAAUAAGUGCAUACAUUUUAGGAGAAGAGGGAUCAAAGGCAGAAGGAAGAAAUGCACGGGUGUCAGCUGUGACCCUCGAAGGAAAGGGAUCACCCUCUUUCUGACCCUAUACCACCUUCAGCAGGGAUGAAGGCAGUCAGAGAAAACUUAGUUAAAAAAUUUCUAAACUGCUUUGCUGAUUUGAUCUGGGGCCCUGGAGUGCCAACAUCCUGUGAUAGCGGCUGAUUGUUGAUGCCUGGGAGGAUACAGCAGUGACGAUCCAAAUUUACAAGACUCAACAUGGUUUUCAAAACUUCCUUUUAAAAAAGAUGUUCCUGAGUUCUGGAAUCUGAACAAAAUAUGUCUGGUUAUUAUAUAAUUCUAAUGGUCCUUGUGGAUGCUACCAUUAGAGUUCAGUUAGUGUCUCAUCUAUCACUGUAAUAUUUGUAUUGUAACACUAAUCGUGGCAAAGUAUGAUUUGAUAAAUGCUCAUUCUCAAAUCUUUUA